GUCUGUGUGAAGGUGUAUAGAGUCUGGCCUGCCCACUGACUUAAUGUUGUUUAAAGGGCCGCGGUAUUUUGACCGUGCGAAGGUAGCAUAAUCAUUAGUCUUUUAAUUGAAGGCUUGUAUGAAUGGUCGGACAAAAAGUAAGCUGUCUCCAACUAUAAAAAUUGAAUUUGACUUUUAAGUGAAAAGGCUUAAAUAAUACAAAGUGACGAUAAGACCCUAUAAAGCUUUAAAGUAAGUAUUUUUUAGUAUAAAUUAUUAGAGAUGUAUAACUUAGUUUAAAAUAAAACUUUUUUGUUGGGGCGACAAAAAUAUAAAUGAAUAACUGUUUUUGUUAAAAUAAAACAAUUAUAAUUGGACUACAGAAUGAUCCUUUUAUAAAGAUUAAAAGAUUAAGUUACUUUAGGGAUAACAGCGUAAUCUUCUUUGAGAGUUCAGAUCGACAAGAAGGGUUGCGACCUCGAUGUUGAAUUAAGGUUCCUCUAUGGUGCAGCAGUUAUAGCAGGAGGUCUGUUCGACCUUUAAAUCCUU
rnacentral:rRNA from 1 species